rnacentral:rRNA from 1 species
GGGAUCAGCCCAUUAAGUUAUGUGUGUUUUAGUGGAACGCUCUGGGAAGUGCGAACGUAGAGGGUGAUAUUCCCGUACACGAAAGGGCACACAUAAUGAUGACGAGUAGGGCGAGGCACGUGAAACCUUGUCUGAAUAUGGGGGGACCAUCCUCCAAGGCUAAAUACUCCUGACUGACCGAUAGUGAACCAGUACCGUGAGGGAAAGGCGAAAAGAACCCCUGUGAGGGGAGUGAAAUAGAUCCUGAAACCGCAUGCAUACAAGCAGUGGGAGCACCUUCGUGGUGUGACUGCGUACCUUUUGUAUAAUGGGUCAGCGACUUAUAUUCAGUAGCAAGGUUAACCGUAUAGGGGAGCCGUAGGGAAACCGAGUCUUAAUAGGGCGUUUAGUUGCUGGGUAUAGACCCGAAACCAGGCGAUCUAUCCAUGAGCAGGUUGAAGGUUGGGUAACACUAACUGGAGGACCGAACCCACUGUCGUUGAAAAGCCAGGGGAUGACUUGUGGAUAGGGGGUGAAAGGCUAAUCAAGCCUGGUGAUAGCUGGUUCUCCCCGAAAGCU